UAGUGGACUCGUUUGUUUUACCUCCGGGAAGGUAGCUCGUUGUUCCUUCGUGUUAGCCAAAAUGCGGGCUCAUUGCAUUGCUGGACAUUGCUUGAACAAUCAGGAGAAUGGAAUUACCCUUCAUAAGUUUGAAAGAGACCCUGUUCGUUGUGAAAAAUGGAUUGCAAGGGUGCAGAGGACGAGAGCUUCGUGGGUUCCAAAUAGAUAAAGUGUCCAUUUGCUCAUCAGACAAGAAUGUGUUGUGGAGCGCCAUGGCUGUCCUUGAUCUUUGUAUGCAGAAAACCGGCUGGUGCCAUCCUCCCCUCCCAGGCGUUGCCGUGGAGAUGAACGACACCAGAUAAGGAGGGGAAAGUUACCAUCCCGGCCCAGGACCAGACUACAAGGGGGGCAGGCACUUCUGCCAUGGACCCAUACAUAUAAAAACCCUUUGUUACCGGGCAGCUCUUGUCUUCUUCUUGGGUCAUCUUGUCAGAAGACACACGUCUCGUGUGCAGCAGAUGCCUAGAUAAGACCCGGACACGGUCCAAACUCGCAAAUUUCUACAAUUUGGUUUCCCUGAUCGUAAGUUGAGGGAGAUCGAUGAGCGUUGGCCAUUGACGGAGGACAUUGUUUGAAGCCAGAUGAGAAACACAGGAGUGUUUUACGGACAAGUCGAGGGUGAUCGCCUGUAUGUCUGACUUCUCCUGGUCGACCGAAACCAAAGGUAAGCAGAAGCCUGUUAAUGUCGAAUUCUGCAUAUUGAACUGCCUAAAUUUGAGAAGUCAUUGGUAUUAAAUUGUUCAUGCCUCAUAUGAGUAUUGAGAAUAAGAGAUAAAGACAAUAAAGAGAAUAAGAGAUGAAGCGAAUAAGAGAUAAAGAGAAAAAGUGAUAAAGAGAAGCUGUAUAACCCGUCGUAACUGACGUAUAUUGUAGAUGUGCAAUUGGACUGUGAGGUUCACCUGUUACACCUAAGGUGGAUGGGAUCCAUUAAAAACAGAGGAUUUGCUGUUGGUUUGAGCCUGGGAGGUCUCAAGGUGACGUACGAAAAAAAAACCAAAUAGUAUAGGCUAAUUUAUUGCGUGAUUUGGUUGGGUUUAGUUGAAGAAGAGUGAUCGCUAAAUUAAAUAGAUAAUCUUGGUUGGUGAAUUUGAUCAUGAAUGUGCUGAAUAUAAUCCGAUUAAAGAUGAAAUGUACAUUGAAACUGAGCGGCAAAUGAUGGCUAAUGUUGAUCAAAAGGAACAAGAUAAAGAAAGGAAGCACGCAUUAUAAUAAUGGGAAAAACACAACUUGGGUAAAAUUUGCGAUUGGGACAAAGUGACGAUGAAAUUAUAGGAAGUUCACAGAGAAUAUGUAAAACAGGGGAAAAAUGCACGUGACAGAUUAGAUAAGGGCGCGUGGAAUGUAAAGAGGAAAUGUAAGAGAGAACUUGAAGAGGUGGACCAAGGAAGGCGGACUGCACAUUUAAUGACGGUGAUGGCGGCGUUGAAAAAUGGUAAUGGAAAGUCGGACGAAAGUAAAGUGAAUAAAGAAGAUGGUGCAGUUACUCCCAGACCGGCGUCGACCGCACCCCUGUAUCCAACACUCUCGUCGCCUUACGCAGGGGAGACGGACGUUGAAACAGGACCGGGGAACUACCCAAUGAUGAAAAUCGCUGGUAAGGUGGCAUGUGACAUUGAGGGUAUCACGGAACCCAUGACGGAGGAAGAAAAGGGUGCUGACAAAAGUUAUAUGUGAUAUGUGGGUACGAGUAACAAAAAAAAUGGAAAUGAGGAACAAGACACAUUGAGCAUGCACACAUGCGUGGGCCUUGAAUCACACGGAACUAUACCACACACACACAUGGUCACAGAGGAAGAUGAGGAAGCGGAAGAAAGGGAGGGCAUAGAAGACUUACCUCCGCCUCAGACCAAUGUCAGUUUGCGUAACGAAAAACCUUUAGUUUUCCCUCCCUCACGUCAGAGUGAGCGGAUAAAAAACAAACAAGCAACCAAACAAAACGCUACAAUGGUGCCGAUGAUAGCGGCUCCGACAGGUCCAAUAUACAUGCCGUUUGAUCUUAAAGAUGUUGAUUGUCUUACUGCAUGGUUGCAUCGUCUUUUUUCUGGUGGUAAUGCAUGUCUGUCUAGUUUUGUGAAAACUUUACAGGGGUAUACACUCUGCAUGGGAGACUGGAGACAAGCAGCAUCUAGGUCAUGCACGAGCUAAAGCUGACCCUGAACCUCCUGUCCGGAGAUAAACCUAGAUUUAGAUGACACUUAGUGCAUCCCCUCAAAAUGUAUUCAAGCCAACAACAGGGUGAGGAUAAUGAAACUAUUAAACUCCAAAAACAACUUCUUAAAUUACAAGUAGCGCAGGCAAGAGAUGAGGCCACACAAAAGAAGAUAGAUAAGAAGGAAAAGUCCAAAACCACACCAGACGUAAUUUUUUUGGCAGGCACAACCACCUAGACAGGCAGGGAGGUUCUGGGGUAAUAGCCGCAGGACACGCAGGAAGGCAUGGGGUGGGGUGGAUUGGUGUGCAACGUGAUCAAGGGUGUUUUGGUUGUGGUUCCCUCGAUCACUGGAUUAAAGACUGUCCUACAGCUCUUCCACCUCGAGGUCCAAUGCAGGGCCAUGGUGGCUGGUUCAACAACCGAGGGGGCCAAGGCAGAUGCAGAGACGACAGCUUUGGGGGCCCACCAUGGCAGCAAGAUAGACAGCAGCAGGUUGGACAGUACCACUAGGGGUGCCCGGGAAGACAGGGAUCCGGCAAUGCAGGUGCCAUGAUCUCCAUCUCUGUUGUGGGGCGAAAAGUGAACACUCUCGUUGACACAGGAGCAACACACUCCUCACCCAACAUCUCGCUCCCGGACACUUUAUUGUCACAACACACUGUGCAAUUGAUGGGCUUCUCAGGGACUCAAUAGGCCCUUGCAAUGGACUCAACCCCUACCGACAAUCUUGGCUGGACACCAUUCGUUUAUAAUGCUGGCAGCUGACACCGUCUGCCACUCUGGACAAUAACUUAUGACACCUGUGAGUGAAGCAACUCCAAAUGUGGACAUUUAUUGGGCCCGACUAGAAACACCGCUCAAACCUGGUCUCAUGCAUCAAUUUCUGUUGUGGAAGCCCUGGUUAAACACUCUUAGGGCUUACCUGCCUCCACGAGAUCCAUACCAUUGCACACUAUACGACAACCGCAACCACGAUCUAGUGUACAUGGAAAACUUUGCAUGCAUACAAGGUGAUGCUUGGAAUAUUACAUCCACACAUAUAUACGCAGCUCUUACACCAGGUUGUUUAAAAUGCAGGAAGAGUCAGUACUCCACAUUUCACCCGCUCUGUCUCCAGGGCACGAGGCCCGGUAGCUGGGACCUAUGGUGAAACAACUGACUAAAAUUAGUUUGGUCCUCUGGACCCUUUGAUGUUGCGGCUGCUAACCAUGAUGGAGGACACCCUCACUGGCCUGUGGAAUUCUAGAGUCCUGGAAACAUCCACCUCCUCAUGGUGUACACCACUCAGGCCAGUUUUAAAAGCAGAUGGUAACACUUAUCGUAUGGCGCAUGUUUUGAGGGCCAUUAAUGAUGUAACAAACCCACGAUCGUUACCUGUACCAGACCCCCACAGAAUGUUGUCUACCAUCACACCUGAUUUGAAAUACUUCACAGCGAUUGAUUUGGCAAAUGCAUUCUUCUAUAUCCCACCCGCACGCAAGUGUAGACACUUGUUUGCAUUCAGAUAUCAGGGACACAAUUUGCAAUACACCAGGUUGCCACAAGGCUUCAAAAAUUCACCAAUUCAAUUUUUAAGCAAUGUUUGAAAUCAUUGCUGCAGGAUCUAGAACUCUCAGACAGAUGUAAACUCCUGAUGUAUGUUGAUGACCUCUUCUUGGCAGCCCCAACAGCAGAGUUGUAUUUGUCUCUAACUAAACUAGUUUUGCUUCAUUUGCAUGAGCUGGAAUUCAAAGCUUCCAGAAAGAAGCUUCAGUGUUGUCGCAAAUCGGUGACCUUCUCGGUCAGAGUGGUUUCCUCUGAAGGAUCUACUAGGUCCUCGGAUCAUUGUUCUUCUAUUCUAUAGCAGAAACAUCCUAACAGGGUCCUGUUCACUGAUGGUUGCUGUUAACGUGAGCCGGAUGGCUCUUUGCGACGGCUGCCGUAGUGGAGCAGCAGCCCUCAGAUCCAGGACUCUCCUCCAUCACCACCUCCUGCACUUGAUCUUCCUGAGUGAUCAUCUGUUUAUCUUAAACGACUCUCUCGUAAGUGGUCAGAACCCCGUUGGUCUGGCCCCCACAAGGUGACUGCUCGUACCUCCAAAGCCUUCCGCUUGGAGGGAAAAGGAACUAAGUGGUUUCAUUAUUCUAUGCUUCACCCUGCUACAGACUCUUAAUUGCACUUUUAUUUUAUUGCUUGUUGUUGUUUUAUUGUUAACUCUGAUUCCUACAGAUGGUCCGAUUGCUUUUUGGACCAAGAGAGGGAGAGCAGGAAUCUAUAGUAUUCUUAUUAUUGGUGUUAUUGUUGUUCUCUGUAUUUUGAUUUGGGAAAUCGCUGAAAAAUACCCUAUACCCACACCCAUAUCAGUACCAGCCGUCGUGGGGGGGGUUGUAUGCAUCUUUUUAUCCGGUGUCGACACUAGCUAAAACCGCAAUGGAACAAUUGGAAAAUCCCUGUGAUAAUCCCGACAAAUAAACGGAUGAGCUUUACUUUUGCUGCAAUGCUUCCAAAUUCACUAGUGUACUUAUGCUAAAUUUAAACUUGUUUUCUAUUGGAAGGUACAAGGCUAGUGAGUGGGGAGGCUAUGAUUGGUAGUUAGAUACGAGCGGACACACAAAGGCUGGGGGCUGGGGAUAUGUCUCACACCAAUUAUGGGGAGGGUGGGAUAAGGUGUCGUAUGGAUGGGAAAAAUCCGCCAGAGACUGGCAACAGCGACUCUCUAUCAGAAGAAGGCCGGCAAAUAGAGAACCCCAUUUGUUUCUGACUCUUAAUACCACUCUUUCCCCUCUAUUGGGAUCUUCGCCUGCCAUUCAUAAUACCCCUCAUUUCUCCUCCCCCAUUCAGUGUUACACAUUAGGCUUAUGUCUUUACAAGGCUAACAAAGAUCCAUGUACAUGUAUACAUUUUUGUCCGAAUAAAACCGCCUUUGAUCUGACCAAAGGUCAGCAGAACGAACCUACCCUGCACUCAUUAGUUCUAACAGGAUUGAGCCCCGGCUCAGCCUCCAAUAGUCGUAUUAAGAGUCGUAUUAUAGACGAAGCCUUAUCUGUUGAUGAGUGGUUUAAGGUUUUGACACGCAUUAGCACAGUAAAUAAUAAUUGGUUACUAAAGGCAGAACAAGCGGCUAAUAAAACCCCGAGGGACUGUGUUCUAUGCAUGGGACCGAGACCUUUAAGUGUUGUUUCCUCUUCUGUCAACUCCACCUGUGUUGUAGAUCCUAUGAAAAAUUAUGUGCCGACUAAAAAUGAAUCUAAAAUUUGGGAUACUGCACACCCAGAAACACCAGCCCAAAAGAACAAACCUGUGUUUAAUUGUGCUGUGGUCCGCCAAAACUUCAACUGUAUUUUCUUAAAGGUAAUGGGGCCCCAAUUGGCAAUAUCUCUGAUGAUCACUGUACAGAAAACUACUAAGCAUCUUUCUUCCAACCGGUCAGCCGUGCUGAUGUGUGGUGGUGGACCGCCUCCCGCGCGACAGCAUGGGCAGAUGUGCAUUAGUAACUUUACUUUCACCCAUUUCUAUUGUUCCUGUCACCCUAGAUGAUCUGGCGAUUGCUCCUGAACACUUCAGGAAAGCCCUCGGCCUAUUACACUGUUCACGUAGGUCAUAACCUACCUGGCUGGGUGCUGAUGACCCCACCUACAUUGACGCUAUUGGCGUCCCCGUGGUGUCCCAGAUGAGUAUAAACUGGCUGAUCAGGUAGUUGCUGGUUUUGAAAAUAUAUCUGUAAUUUCCACCCUGUUCCCUGUUACUCCAAAUAAAAAUGUCAACCGUAUCAAUUACAUACAUUAUAAUGUGCAACGCUUGGGCAAUUUCACCGUUGAGGGACUUGAAGUUGUACAUGAGCAACUUAGGGCUACAUCUAUUAUUGCUUUCCAAAAUAGAAUUGCAUUAGAUGCAGUGUUGGCCGAAAAAGGUGGUGUUUGUUCCUUCUUUGGCGACCAAUGCUGUACCAUUAUUCCGAAUAACACAAAACCUGGCAGCCGCCUCACUAAGGCUGUAGAUGGACUUAGAACCCUUGCUAAGAAAAUGAAGGAACACUCUGGUGUUGACACGUCUAUGUGGGAUAACUGGAUGAAUGUGUUUGGUAGAUGGAAGGGUGCCAUUUCAUCAAUCUUCAUCUCUCUGACUGUCUUCACCUCUAUUCUCACCCUAUGUGGAUGCUGUUGCAUUCCUUGUAUUCGUUCUCUUUUAACCCGUCUGAUGGAGAAGGUGAGUGGUCCCCCGGCUGAUGGCCGCUGUAAUUAUGUUAAUUAGACCCCCGCCCCGACACACUCCUCAAGAUAAUUUCAUUGUUGCUGUCGCUCCCCUUGAAAAUGAUGCUGUACUUUCACCAUCAUCCAACCCUGAUUUAAUGAUGUUUCAUGCCCCAGGAUUACAUUACCCUUGCUCAUAUUGUGUGAUUAUUCUGUUCUACUUAUAUUUGAGUGUUGUUGCUUUCUUUUUUGCUUUGCUGUAUUUGUCUAUUACUGUCCUGCAGGUUUAAAGCUUAUGUGUGUUCUGACUCAUGAGGCGAUGCACUUAUUACAAGGCAUGGUUGGACAACGAGAGAGGGUUUUAUGUUUUCCAUAUUUCUUCAUUUGUGAUUUUUGUGGGGUUAUCUAUUUCAUAGAUCAAGAGAGGGAAUGAAGACUAUUUUACUUUUAUUGUACUUUCAUUAUUUGAUUAAAUAUGACCUUAUACAUUUAAUCAACAGAUAAAGUGUUGUCCAUUUGCUAAUCAGACAAGGAUGUGUUGUGAAGCACCGUGGCUGUCCUUGAUCUUUGUACCCAGAAAACCGGCUGGCGCCAUCCUCCUCUCCCAGGUGUUGCUGUGGAGACAAAUGACACCAGAUAAGGAGAGGAAAGUUACCAUCCCAUCCCCGGACCAGACUGCGAGGGGGGCUGUUAGGUCCAAAGCACGGACUUCUCGCUCAAUGUGGACCUAGAGGUCACGACACCGGGAUAAAAUGAUUGAGACAGAGGCAGUUAUUUUUUACUAAACUGCAGUUUAGGGAGAGCUUGGAGGAGCAGAACAUAUCCUCCACACCCGCACGUAAGACUCUCUCCGAGCCCCCCCAAAACCACACAUUUUAUUGAGUUUCACACAUAGGGAGGGGGGAGCAGGUUUCACAAGACAAGUAAAGUUGUUAUACAGAGACAGUUAAUCUUCUCAAAGCCGGGUGUCCUCUGAGUAGACACAGUUCUUCCUGUUACAAAAACCCACAAGAAUGCAACUAUCAUAAAUUUGCAGUCACCUUGAGCUCUUAAACUUCCCAUAGACAAACAGCACACACACACAUCCCUGCACAGCAACAGUAAUUAAAAGAUUUAUGACACAUGAGGAGAUACAUUUCACAGGCCUCUGUGAAAUGUGUAAGCUUAUCUUACAGGGGCAGCAACUUCUACCAUGGACCCAUACAUAUAAAAACCCUAUGUUACCGGGCA